rnacentral:rRNA from 1 species
GACGAACGCUGGCGGCGUGCUUAACACAUGCAAGUCGUACGGUAAGGCCCUUUCGGGGGUACACGAGUGGCGAACGGGUGAGUAACACGUGAGUAACCUGCCCACAACUUUGGGAUAACGCUAGGAAACUGGUGCUAAUACUGGAUAUGUGCUCCUGCUGCAUGGAGGGGGUUGGAAAGCUCCGGCGGUUGUGGAUGGACUCGCGGCCUAUCAGCUUGUUGGUGGGGUAGUGGCCUACCAAGGCGGCGACGGGUAGCCGGCCUGAGAGGGUGACCGGCCACAUUGGGACUGAGAUACGGCCCAGACUCCUACGGGAGGCAGCAGUGGGGAAUAUUGCACAAUGGGCGCAAGCCUGAUGCAGCAACGCCGCGUGCGGGAUGACGGCCUUCGGGUUGUAAACCGCUUUCAGCAGGGACGAAGCUUUUUGUGACGGUACCUGCAGAAGAAGCACCGGCUAACUACGUG